GCUUGUGUGUGUGUGUUGUGUCCCAAUGUAAUUUGAUUGAGAUACGUUUUUUCUUUCUUUCUUUUCUUAUGCUAAAGUGAUUAAAAUACUGUUUAUAUUAAAAUUAGAUAAGGCCCGCCUAAAUAGGCGGGUGUAAGAUGUAAAUGUAAUUUUUAUCGAUAAUAUUUAAAUUUUGAAUAGUAAAAUAAUAAUCGAUACAUUGUUCUUGAUAAAUAAUUUUGAAUAGUAAAAUAGUAGUCUUAUGAAUUUUAUUUUGUUAUACCCAUUCAAUCUUAUUGAUGAUAUUUGAAGUCUAAAUAGUAACCUACACACUUUUUCUUUAUUAUAAUUUAGUAUUUAGAAGAA
rnacentral:sRNA from 1 species